CCUACGGGUGGCAGCAGUAGGGAAUAUUGCACAAUGUGCGAAACCCUGAUCCAGCGACGCCGCGUGAGUGAAGAAGUCAUUCGUUAUGUAAAGCUCUAUCAGCAGGGAAGAAAAUGACGGUACCUGAGUAAGAAGCCCCGGCUAACUACGUGCCAGCAGCCGCGGUAAUACGUAGGGGGCAAGCGUGCUCCGGAUUUACUGGGGGUAAAGGGAGCGUAGACGGCAGUGCAAGUCUGGAGUGAAAGGCGGGGGCUCAACCCCCGGACUGCCCUGGAAACUGUACGGCUGGAGUGCAGGAGAGGUAAGUGGAAUGCCUGGUGUAGCGGUGAAAUGCGUAGAUAGUAGGAGGAACACCAGUGGCGAAGGCGGCUUACUGGACUGUAACUGACGUUGAGGCUCGAAAGCGUGGGGAGCAAACAGGAUUAGAUACCCCAGUAAUC
rnacentral:rRNA from 1 species